rnacentral:rRNA from 1 species
GAUGAACGCUGGCGGCGUGCCUAAUACAUGCAAGUCGAGCGAACAGACGAGGAGCUUGCUUCUCUGACGUUAGCGGCGGACGGGUGAGUAACACGUGGAUAACCUACCUAUAAGACUGGGAUAACUUCGGGAAACCGGAGCUAAUACCGGAUAAUAUAUUGAACCGCAUGGUUCAAUAGUGAAAGACGGUUUUGCUGUCACUUAUAGAUGGAUCCGCGCCGCAUUAGCUAGUUGGUAAGGUAACGGCUUACCAAGGCAACGAUGCGUAGCCGACCUGAGAGGGUGAUCGGCCACACUGGAACUGAGACACGGUCCAGACUCCUACGGGAGGCAGCAGUAGGGAAUCUUCCGCAAUGGGCGAAAGCCUAACGGAGCAACGCCGCGUGAGUGAUGAAGGUCUUCGGAUCGUAAAACUCUGUUAUUAGGGAAGAACAAAUGUGUAAGUAACUAUGCACGUCUUGACGGUACCUAAUCAGAAAGCCACGGCUAACUACGUG